rnacentral:sRNA from 1 species
CCCAACCGUCCGAGUGACCAGCUAAUUCGAAGGCAUCCAAGCCUCCUUCUCUAUGUCAAUGUACAGGUACAUGUACAUGUACAUGUACAUAGGUUACAUGUACAAACCUGAUACCGAAUGCAGUGGCUCGUCACGCUACCCAUUUUAUGAGCUACUAUCUUAGCUCGAUGGCCACGAAGAUACCAAAGACCAACCCACGAAGGGAAAAGGGUCCAGAUCUUCUGUGACAUAUCUCAAUCUCUACUCGCAGAUCAUGGCUGCGUUGUCAGCCAUUCGCGCCAUGGCCGUUGUUGUGUACAGGUUGAACCACGGUUCAUCCAUUUUCUGCCAAAUCUCUCUCGUUCUUUUUCUUUCUUUCUUUCUAUUUUAAUUUUAGCUGCUUCGAAUAAA